rnacentral:lncRNA from 1 species
GGCAAGGUGGCAUUCUGCAGCGACCACUGUUCCACUGCCACAGCACACUGGACCCCAUGUUGACCAACAGGCACCGAACACUGGGUUGCAGGUCUUUCCAGUUGUGGCAUAUGAAACACCACCUCAACAUGGCCUGAUGAGCGGUGCCAUGUCUGCGCCCAGGAUCCAAACCAGCGAAACCCUGGGCCACGGAAACAGAGCACGCGAACUCAACCACUCGGCCACGGGGCUGGCCCCUAUGUUUCUAAAAUUUUGAUGUAACUAACUGAACAUGACUCUUGAAUGGAGUGACCAAAGAAGAAAAUGGAUGGAGCCAAACUGACCAGCCUGCAGCGUCCUGGUGAGCUCGUGUCCUAGUCCCACCGCCUCCAUCCUCAAAGGAACACGAUCUGAUCUUCCUGGACUGGGCUCUUCACAUAUCCUUCGCUCCUGUGAGCCACACUUUUUUCCCCCUUCAGUUGGCCAGAGUAAAUAUUUCCCCCUUACAUCCAAAUAAAC